AUCCCCCUCCCCCAGCUCCCCAACUUGCCUGUUUCGUCUCGUUGUUUACUCCCUUCUUCGCAAGCGAUCUUGGAAGCGUCUAGGAUCUAGCGUUUUUUUAAUUAAGCGCCUCCUCUUCUUUUAUCAGCCUCCAUCGUCACCCUCCUGCGCUAAGCCGCUAAUUAGCCUCGUCUGUUUCUCCUGCCUUCCUGCCCGUGUCUGCUCUGCUGCCAGUCGCCACCAACCGAGCCAAGAGAGGAGGAAGAUGGCGGCGAAAGAAAUCCUGGAAAGCUGACCCCUUGCUUGAUGCACAUGAGGCCCCCCUUUUGUUUCCGCCCAGAUUAGCUGCUGCGAUUCCUCACCCGAUUUGCCUCUUCCUCCCCGGCCUCGAGUUUGCAUUCUCUGCCGCUGCUGCGACUCGCCUCGGUAUGGUUCUUCCCCCAUCCUAGCUCGUCGUCUCCUUCCUUGGUCUCGAGGAUUUCGUGUUCGAGGAUGGGGGAUUGAUUUCUCGUGCGCCGAUCCGGUUUCAGGCUUAAUCUUUGUGCCUAGGAUUCCCCUUUCUUGAUUCCGUCGCCAUAAUUGCCGUGCCACAGAUUGCAGCAGCAGCAGCAGCAGCCCGCGCUUUGCAGCCCCUUCCAAGAAACGGCUGCAAGCUUUGGCUGUUUCCGCCUGCCCGCCCCACAAAUCCCGCACGAAACCCUCCACCGCCCAAGAAAAAGCGGCGGCUUUUCGGCCGGCUGGCGUCCAUCUUCUCACGAGUUUGGUGAGGUUCUGGAGCCGGCGCAGGCCUUUCUGCCGAAUAUCCCAAAGGCCCUUCCUGGUCCUUGGUGUCGGAAUCGGAGAGCUCCGCGCUCAGGCCGGAGCGGGUGUUUUUCUCGUCGGAGAUGGAGGGGAAUCUGCCGCCGCGAGCGCUGAUCCCCGGCGGAGCCCCCUUCGAUCUGGGGCAGCCGUUCCACUUCGCCGCCCAGCCCCAGGCGGCGGUUCAGGUUCACCAGGGCGCGUUCGCUGCCCCCGCCGCGAACCAGAUGCAGGAGCCCGGGAAUGCGGUGAAGGCCUCCCUGAGCGACGAGGAGGCCGCCGCCGACGGCCACCACGGCCGCGGCAAGGCGGCGGCGGCCCCGGCCUCCCAGUGGCACCGGGUCAAGUGGACCAGCGACAUGGUGAAGCUGCUCGUUUCGGCCGUCUCCUACAUCGACGACGACAUCGACGCCGACCACGGCACCAGCAGCGGGAGGAAGAAGCACGCCAUGCUCAAGAGGAAGGGCAAGUGGAGGCUCGUCUCCUCGGCCAUGACCGAGAGGGGGUUCCCCGUGUCACCGCAGCAGUGCGAGGACAAGUUCAACGACCUCAACAAGAGGUACAAGAGGCUCACUGAGAUCCUUGGCCGGGGCACGGCUUGUCAGAUCGUCGAGAAACCGGCACUCCUCGAACAGGUGAGCCUAUCUGCAAAGCUCAAGGAGGAGGCCAAGAAACACCUGAACUCAAAGCACCUGCACUACGAGGAGAUGUGCUCCUACCACAACCAUAACCGGCACUGCCUGCUUGAUGAUCCGGCCCUUCAGAGGUCGCUGCGUGUGGCGCUUAGGAGUCCGGAUGAACAGGGAAAGAAGUGCUCGUUUGGAUAUGAUGAUGAGGAUGAUCAGAUGUUCCUUUUUGAUGACGAUGACGAUGAUGACGGGUUCAAUGAUGAUCUGGAGGCCAGUGCUGAAGAUCAUCUUCACCACAGAGUUCAUGGCAACAAGAAGCUGAAGCAUGACCAUGAGGGGGGACACUGUGGGUCUCAUCUGUCAGAAGUUGCUGCCAUUGACAUGAAUAAAAUGUUUGCUGAGGGUGCUGGUGGUUCUGCUGCUGAGAAGAAUCUAAGUGGUAUGAAUGCAACUCAAAUUGAGAGAGAACGUCUGAAGAUUAAAGAGGGGAUGCUGAAACUCGAGCAGAGCCGUUUGAAGUGGCUGAGAUCCAGCAAGGAGAAGGACAGGGAACUGGAGAAGAUGAAGCUGGAGAAUGAAAGGAUGCAGCUGGAAAAUGAGCGGCUGGAGCUGGAGCUGGAGCUUAAGGAAAUUGAGAUGGGCAUCAAACCAAAGAGGAUUUGGUGAUGACAUGGUGGAAAUGGUAGAACUAGAAACUCUAGAGUUGCUGGUUGUUAAGGAUAGUGUCGGGGGAAUAUACCGGCAGUCCCACCACGGGGCUACCCACGGUGGUAGAUUAUUUGUGGGAUCGCCAGACCAGGAGCAAGAUGGUAACGCAGGGACACAAAGACACAAGAUUUAUACAUGUUCGGGCCACCAGAUUAGCGCGACAGUAGUUCCUGGACAGAGUGGCCAGUUUUGAACGGAAAUGGAUGAAGAGGUUGUGAUUGCUUCCUUUGAGGUCCUUUUGCUGCUUUCACUUCAGGGCAAUUGUAUAUACAGUUGACACCUGAAUAGGAUAUGUAAUGUUAUAGCAUUACUUUGUUAAUCAUAUCGAUUGGUCGUGUGUUUGUGCGUGGCUAUAUUGAUCUCAAUAACAAGUGUAUAUCUUCUUUGGCUUGCUACUAUUGUUGUUCUCUGAAGAGUUUGUCCAAGGUCUGUCCUGGCCAAUACUACUCAACAAUCAACAUUGAUAUCACUGAAGAGUUUGAUAUCGUCAUGGUUUCCAGGUUGGCUAGAUCUAAGGUACUGCACAGUUUGAGAAGCCAUUUUUCACUGAUGUUUAAGUUGGUACCAUGCACGAUUGUAUUGUAUUGUCACUAGUCUUUGCGGACUAUAACUUCAGGAGCGUUUGCUGUCUUAUGCAGGACGAUUGUACUGCACAGUUUGUAUUGUACCAGCUAUGAGCUAGUAUAAUUGAAAACUCUGCGGGUUAUGCAUUUGCUUUGGCA